rnacentral:rRNA from 1 species
GAUGAACGCUGGCGGCGUGCCUAAUACAUGCAAGUCGAGCGAACAGACGAGGAGCUUGCUCCUCUGACGUUAGCGGCGGACGGGUGAGUAACACGUGGAUAACCUACCUAUAAGACUGGGAUAACUUCGGGAAACCGGAGCUAAUACCGGAUAAUAUAUUGAACCGCAUGGUUCAAUAGUGAAAGACGGUUUUGCUGUCACUUAUAGAUGGAUCCGCGCCGCAUUAGCUAGUUGGUAAGGUAACGGCUUACCAAGGCAACGAUGCGUAGCCGACCUGAGAGGGUGAUCGGCCACACUGGAACUGAGACACGGUCCAGACUCCUACGGGAGGCAGCAGUAGGGAAGCUUCCGCAAUGGGCGGAAGCUUGACGGAGCAACGCCGCGUGAGUGAUGAAGGUCUUCGGAUCGUAAAACUCUGUUAGGAGGGAAGAACAAAUGUGUAAGUAACUAUGCACGUCUUGACGGUACCUAAUCAGAAAGCAACGGCUAACUACGUG